rnacentral:rRNA from 1 species
UACGUAGGGUGCAAGCGUUGUCCGGAAUUAUUGGGCGUAAAGAGCUCGUAGGCGGUUUGUCGCGUCUGCUGUGAAAACUGGAGGCUCAACCUCCAGCCUGCAGUGGGUACGGGCAGACUAGAGUGCGGUAGGGGAGAUUGGAAUCCUGGUGUAGCGGUGGAAUGCGCAGAUAUCAGGAGGAACACCGAUGGCGAAGGCAGGUCGUCUGGGCCAUUACUGACACUGAGAAGCGGAAAGCAUGGGGAGCGAACAGG